UACGGGGGGGGGCAAGCGUUGUUCGGAAUUACUGGGCGUAAAGGGCGCGUAGGCGGUGCGCUAAGUCGGUGGUGAAAUACUUCGGCUCAACCGGAGAAUUGCCGCUGAAACUGGCGUGCUCGAGGGAGGUAGAGGUGCGUGGAACUUCCGGUGGAGCGGUGAAAUGCGUUGAUAUCGGAAGGAACACCUGUGGCGAAAGCGAUGCACUGGACCUCUUCUGACGCUGAGGCGCGAAAGCCAGGGGAGCGAACGGG
rnacentral:rRNA from 1 species